AGGGGAGGGAGGGAGCGGCCCCGCGCGGAGACCGGGCUGCGGCGCCCGCGCCUGGAAGCUGGAAGCUGGAAGCUGGAAGCUGAAAGCAGCCACCGGCAGGUGCGCCGGAGGAGGCCGCUAGGCGGUUCUUGGGGACACAGAAGGACGAAAGGGCAGAACAUAAUGUGGAGUUAGGUGGAGAUUAGGACAAGAUGGUGGGACCUGGAACAACGGUUCUCAGAUGUGGUCCGCGGAUCCUGGAGGAGGAGGGGCGCGAGUAUCCGCGAGCUCAAAACUAUUUUCGUAAUGAUCCUAAGGCCGAACCAUGAGCCUUUCUCACCGUAUUGACAUUUGCACGAGUGGUGCAAAAGCAACAGUGCGGGAAACGGCGGCUUAGCGUGAAUGAGGACAGAGGCACCAACUAGACCGGUAGUGAUUUUAUUGCUCAUUGCCAUGCCCUCUCCAUCUUUUUUAAAAAAAUGUCUAUUAAUAAGGUAUCCUUGGGUAUACAUCUUUCUAAUGUUCUAUAUAAUAAAAAUGGGAAGUGGGAAUGAAGCCUUGUGCGGCAGACCUGAGUAAGAUGGUGUCUCCCGGGAAAGCCCUGAAGCUUGCUGGAGCCGUGAGCUGAAGCAGCUGCUUUUUCCUUGUAGCUGGAAAGAUUAACUGAUAGAGAAACCAUAGUGAUUCGGACCUGCAUGUUGGCAGAUAUUUUCUCAAAAAGAAAUGAAAGAAGCUGGUCACUUCAAGAAAAUAAUUGACAUUAUUUUUUGUCAAUGAUACAAUUGGAGCUUUCAAGGGAAAAUUAGAAUUUUGGAAAACUUGUCUAUACCACCCUGAGCUGGAGAGCUUCCCAAUUCUUAAAGAUGUUUCUAAUGAGAUUAGUGGUUUUAUCAAAUAUGAUUUUUUUUCAUAUUGUAUAAUAAAAUGUGUCAACUUUUGGAAGAUCUCCAUACCUCAGUGAUGCGAUAUUUUCCAAAUGAACAAUGCAUGAGUGCAUGAGUAAAAGAUCUAUUCAAGAAUGGAUUUGAAAAAGGAAAAAUAAAAUCUUUUAAAAAAGGGGGCCAGCCCCGUGGCCGAGUGGUUAAGUUCACACACUCCACUUCAGAGGCCCAGGGUUUCGACGGUUUGGAUCCUGGGCUUGGACAUGGCACCACUCAUCAGGCCAUGCUGAGGCGGCAUCCCACAUGCCACAACUAGAAGGACCCACGACUAAAACUAUAUAACUAUGUACCGGGGGACUUUGGGGAGAAAAAGGAAAAAUAAAAUCUUUAAAAGAGAAUGUAUUUAGGGGCCUGCCUGGUGGCGCAGCAGUUAAGCAAGCACAUUCCGCUUCUAUAGCCCGGGGCUGGCUGGUUCGGAUCCCGGGUGCAGACAUGGCACCGCUUGGCACGCCAUGCUGUGGUAGGCAUCCCACAUAUAAAGUAGAGGAAGAUGGGCAUGGAUGUUAGCUCAGAGCCAGCCUUCCUCAGCAAAAAGAGGAGGAUUGGCAGCAGUUAGCUCAGGGCUAAUCUUCCUCAAAAGAAAAAAAAAGAAUGUAUUUGAAUGCGACAAGAGUAGGAAAGGUGCAUAGAUGUUUCAGAUUCCACGUUGCAAUUAACCUUUGAGAAACUAUCACUUGUACAUUUUGUUAUAGUAAAAGAAUGCCCUGGAUGGGGCCUCACCUUGUCCUGUGAGCAGCCCAUGCAAGUCAGGGUACCCCUGGUGCUUAGGGUGCCCACCACGCCCACAUACAUCCCCUCAGGCCUGGACCAUGGUGCAGCGCUGGUACAUGAACCAGUCCCAGGACGACUUGACGUGGCCCCACAGCCUGGAGCCACUGCUGCCCGCUGUGCCUGGAGCAGCUGUGCCAGCUCAGAGUCCUUUACUGGAAGCUGACAAAUAUGAGAAUGAUCCAGAAUUAGAACAGAUCCGAGAAGAGGAACUACUCCUAGAUGGACAUAAGAGCCAUAUGCAAAGAUAAACUGCCAAAUUGUGAAAAAAAGAUGGAGGUGUUUUAUGAGGAAGGAGCAUCUGCACUUGGAUGUAAGAUUUGCUGCAUCCUGGAGGGCAGCGGACACUUUGAUGUAAGAGGAAUAGUGGAUCCAGAUUUUCAUGGAGAAAGGAGACAUGAUAACUCUUCUUGCAGGAAUUUAUCACUGCUUCACGGUGGAUGAGAAGAACUACAUGACGCCACGUGGCUGUUUGUGGGAGGAGCAGUGUGGACCUCGUACAACUGGCCAGCUGACCAUUUCUAGGCGCAAGCACGUGAAAUUUUUGGCAUAGACAACAUAGUGAUGCUUCCUGGGACCUAACACACCCUUUGUAAAGAUCCCAAACAUGAUAACUGAGCAGAAAAUCAAUCGCUUUCUCUUUGCUUUUAUAUCGUAGGCUUGAAGCUAGAUUAUCUUUCUUUUGCAAGAUUAUUUGAUCAGACUUUUUUUUUUUUUUUUUUUUGAGGAAGAUUAGCCCUGAGCUAACUAUUGCCAAUCCCCCUCUUUUUGCUGAGGAGGACUGACCCUGAGCUAACAUCCAUGCCCAUCUUCCUCUACUUUAUAUGUGGGACACCUACCACAGCAUGACUCAAAUGAAAGUUUUAUCUCCUGAAAUGUAACUGCUUAGAUGCUCUAUCUGGACAUGAUUCUUAGACUUUGAACCAGCUUAUCAGUCAAUGCCAUGCCUGCCUUAUAAGAAGGUUGUGGUAUAAGAAAUAUAUUGGAUCUUUGUCCCUGGUUCCUGGCACAGAGCUACUAAAACCCUCGGAAUUUCCUAAGUGACAGGAGUGGCCUUUGUUAUUCAUAAGCAGCCCCUUUGAGCAUCCCUGUUCCACUGAGACUGAAGCUCCUGUGCUCAGGACCCUUCUGGACCUCGCUCUGUGUCCUUCCUCAUCUGGCUGUUCGUCUGUGUCCUUUAUAAUAAAUGAGUAAAUGUAAAUCCAGGUUUCCCUGAGUUUUGUGACCUGUUCUAGCAAACUAUGGGCCCCGAUGAGGGGGUCAUGGGAACCCCCAAUUUAUAGCCAGUCAGUCAGAAGUACAAUUGUCCUGGAUUUGCAAUUGGCAUCAGUCUUAUGGGGCUGAGCCCUUAAUUUGUAGGAUCUGAGGCUAACUCCAGGUAGAUGGUGUCAGAAUUGAGUUAAAUUGUAGGACAUUCAUUCCUCCUGAGAAUUGGAGAAUUGCUUGGUGUGGGAAAACUAACUAGAAAGGUGUAAUGGUAGAUGAUAUUACUAACCAGAUAGAAGACACUUUUUUCUCCCAAAAUUAUGCCUCGGAGUGAGGAGUAGUAAGGGGGAAGAGCUCUCCUAUUAGGGCACACUCUCAGUGGCAUAUGCCACAUGCCACUUGCCGCUUGCCUGUUCAAAAUAAAGAAACUGCCUUAAUUUAAAUUUGUAAAAAGGCCACCUGUGUCUGGCCCCCUCCUGCUGCACUGAAACCUCAAAUUCCACAGACUUUGCAUGAGGGCUCUAAUUCUGUACGCUGCGUGUGCUUGUUUUCUCAUCUCUUAUUCUUUUUAAAUUCAUGCUUAACUACUCUGGGAGAGAAGAGCUGUAAACAGUUUUAAUUAAACCAUACUUAUAGAAACCGACUUUCUUAUACUCUAUGCUUUUGGCAUUGCUGUUCUUGAAAAAUUAAAAGGUCUUUGAUAAAUGGGUGGGGGGGAGAAUAUCCUCAGUAUCUGAAACAGCUGUAAAAAUACUCCUUUCUUUUCCUUUCCCAACUACAUGUCUCUGUGAGGCUGGAUUUUCUUCAUAUACUUCAACCAAAAUAACCUUCAGCAGCAAACUGAAUGCAGAAGCAAGCGCGAGAAUCCAGCUACUGCCAGGGCCAGCCCCGUGUCUGAGUGGUUAAGUUCAUGCACUCCGCUUCGGCAGCCCAGGGUUUUGCUGGUUCGAAUCCUGGGCGUGGACAUGGCACCAUUCAUCAGGCCAUGCUGAGGCAGCGUCCCACAUGCCACAACUAGAAGGACCCACAACUAAAAUAUACAACUAUGUACUGGGGGGCCUUGGGGAGAAAAAGGAAAAGUGAAAUCUUUUUUAAAAAGUCUCUGUCUUUUAAUAGAUAGAUUUAAACUAUUCACAUUUAUAAGGAUUACUGAAAAUUUUUACUUAUUUCUAUCACUUUAUUUUGUGUUUUCUAUUUGCCAUAUUUUUCUUUUACUUUUUUCCCUAAGUUUUAUUAACAUAUACUUGACAUACAGCGCCGUAUGGAUUUAAGGUGCACGUCAUAGUGAUUUGAGUAACUCUUGCUUCUUUUCACAUCCUUUUUAAUUUUCUAUUGUUCAAUCAAGAUUUCUUUAAUGUCCUCCAGCCCCCUUACUGGUUUAAAAACUGUAUAUUCUAUUUCUACUGGUUUAGAAAUUAAAUUCUUGACUUUACAAAGUUUAAAACUCACUAUUUUCUCUUUUUUUGGGGGGGGGGGGAGAGCAGCCCUGAGCUAACAUCUGUGCCCAUCUUCCUCUAUUUUAUAUGUGGGAUGGCUUGAUGAACAGUGUGUAUGUCUGAGCCCAGGAUCCAAACUGGUGAACCCUGGCCCACCGAAGCAGAGUGAUGAACUUAACCACUAAGCCACCAGGCCAGCCCCUCGUUACUUUCUUUAUCCUUCUUAAAAAUAUGAGAAACUUAGAUGAUUUCUCUCCAAUUUCUCCUCUCCUAUCUUCCAUGUUAUUAUUCCAUAGUAUUUUAGUUCCACCGGGUCUUCUGACCCCCCUCUUUUGUUUCAAACAGAUUGAUCAACAUGUUUGCUAGUUUCUUGGUUCAGUAUUGUGACUUGCAUUCCACUCCUACUUCCUGGGUUCAGUUUCCUAGUAACUGAGGGGCAUGAUUGAACAGGUCUUCCAAUAAAGGUCUGUGCAUAAUUGACUUUUCUCUGUCUCAAAUUUUAAUUUUACCCUCACUUUUUUUUUUAGUUUUUAAUGAAGUAUAAUAUAUAUAUAUACACACACAUAUACAGAAAAGUACACAAAUUAUUAACGUACAGUUUACGAAUGUUCACCCAAUCACUAAAACAUAACGUCACCAGCACCCCCAAACCCCCCUCAAGCUGCCUCCUAGGCACUAACUUCCCCAAAAGCAACCACUAUCCUAACUUCAACUAAAAUGGACUGACUUUGCCUGUUUUUGUUUUAUGUAAAUGGAAGCAAUCAUACAGUAUGGACUCUGUUGUGUCUGUCUUCUUCUCAAUGUUACAUUUGUGAAACUCAUCCAUGUUUUUGCAUGUAGCUGUAAUUUAGUAAUUCUGUUGCCAUAUAAAAUUCCAUUUUAUGAAUCUGCUGGAAUAUGUAUAUCCAUUCUACUAUUGAUGGGCAUUUGGGUUCUUUCUAGUUUGGGGCUAUUACUAAUGAUGCUUCUGUAAAGGUCCUGGCACUUGUCUUUUGCUGCACAUUUGUAUGAAAUUCUGUUGCAUGAUACUUAAGAGUGGAUUACUGGGUCACAGGGUACACACAGGAGUGUUCAGCUUUAACAGACGCUGCCAAAGAAUUUUCCAAGUGAUUGUCUAAUUUAUAUUCUACCAGCAAUGGAUCAGAGGUUCAGUUUCUCUACAUCUUCACUCAUACUUGGCAUUGUCGUUCUUUUCAGCUUUACUCAUUCUCGUGGGUAUAUAGUGGUAUCUCACGGUGGUUUUAAAUGGCAUUUCCCUGGAGACUAAUGAAAUGGAGCUCCUUUUCAGAUGCUUAUUUCCAUUUGAAUGUUCUCUUUUGUGAAGUGCCUAUUUCAAGUCUUCUGCCUGUUUUCCAUUGGAUUGUCUGUCUGUUUGUGAUUUGCAGGAGUUCUAUAUACAUUCUGAUAUGAGUCCCCUUUUUGGAUGUAUGUAUUGCAAAUGUCUUCUACUCAAUGGCUUGCCUUCUCACUCUUAUAAUAUAUAUAUAUAUUUUUUUAAGAUUUUUUAAUUUUUCCUUUUUCUCCCAAAGCCCCCCAGUACAUAAUUGUGUAUUUUUAGUUGUGGGUCCUUCUAGUUGUGGCAUGUGGGAUGCCGCCUCAGCAUGGCCUGAUGAGUGGUGCCAUGUCCGCGCCCAGGAUCCAAACCAGCGAAACCCUGGGCUGCCAAAGCAGAGUGUGAGAACGUAACCACUCGGCCACGGGGCCAGUCCCUAAAUAUUCUUCUACAAGAUUUUUUUUUUUAAUAGCUGCCAAAUAGGCAUCAUGUGCCUCUCCCUAGAGCAGGGGCUCUGCAGUCAGACAAGCCUGGUUAAUCUCCUGCCUUCAUCCUCUACAGGCUGUGUAACUUUCAACAAGUUAUUUAAACACUCCGGGCUUUAGCUUUCCUGGGAGUUGCCCAGGUCUAGACCUGGGUGGAUACAUAAUUGGAUCUCAAUCCCUAAUAAAUAGCUGAUUGGUUUAGAAGCUUUGCAUCAGCUGAAACAGUGGAUCAUUAACUCAAGAACAGUUAUUUAUUCAUUAAAGUCCCCUAAAGACCUGGGAUAGGCCAUAUUUCAUGAGUCCACAGUUUUAUUGCAUGUGACUAAGAACAAAAACACUGCAUUAAAAUGAAUGCCCUGUGGUAGUUGAAAGGCAAAGUCAGCAUUGGCAGCAUGAAGGAGUGGCCACUGAACCGCUUAACCAUAUUCCCUUGUCAGAUUGUCAGAUUCCUCCCUUUCUCUAGAGGCUGUGGUUAAGAGAGGGUUCCAACCUUGUCUUAGCUGGUUGCCUUAGGAGAGAAUUGGUUGAUUUCUGUGUUUCACUUUAUCGUCUGUAAAAUGGGUAGAGUAAAAGUUCAAUACCAACCUCAAGGCGAUGUUGUGAGGGUUAAUGAGUAUUGCCUGAGGGAGGGUGUGACAAGUGUUAGGUGAUCAGUGGUGGCCACCAUUAUUGUCAGCCUCGGUGGGGUACAGACCAGUAAGAUGUGGACAUGUGAAGCUGCUCACUUCAUUACUGAAGUGGGGAAACCCAAAAGGCUGGAAGGGGACGUGAGUCCUGUUUAUCUGGGACCGGGGCGGCCCAGUGGCACAGCAGUUAAGUGUGCACAUUCUGCUUCAGCGGCCCGGGGUUCACCAGUUCAGAUCCCGGGUGUGGACAUGGCACCGCUUGGCAAGCCAUGCUGUGGUAGGCAUCCCAUGUAUAAAGUAGAGGAAGAUGGGCACGGAUGUUAGCUCAGGGCCAGUCUUCCUCAGCAAAGAAGAAGAAAAUUGGCAGCAGAUGUUAGCUCUAAUCUUCCUCAAAAAAAAAAAAAAAAAAUCUAGGACAGAUGAGGAACACUGAAACUCAUGAGAAGUAGUGAAAGACAAAAUUCCUGACAUCAGUUUGUCCACUGAGGUGCUGGCAAAUGUUUUUAACAACCAGCUCUAUGUAGGGUGUGUGUGUGUGUGUGUAUGCUGACUUCCUGAUAUAAACGCUUCCGCAAUGGCUGAUUUCAAACUACCAACAUAACAUCACUGAACACAGAGUUGUACAGAUUCCCAUUAUAUAGUAUUUCCACCAUAUAGAUACAAUAGAUAUAAGUAUACUCAAGAGAAUAGAUACUAGUCAAAUAAAUAAGAAGUGGUAAGUUUUGAGUCUUUUAAUAUAAUUUACUUAAUUGUAAGUUUAUAUAACAGUUUUUAAUAAUGGCUGUGUUUAACAACUGGCUUGUAAAAUUCCUGAAAAAUUAACAUUUGGCUCUCAUAAGUCUAUACGAGCUGUCUCUAGCCACCACUGAAUUAGUCCACUGGUCCUCAUUUGGAGCCUUAAUCGUGGACAAAGAGUAGUAUUCAUGUUUAGUUCAGGACCUGGCACCCCGGCAAGUGCUAAGUAAGGGCAGAGUCAAUGUACUUCUAAAGACCAGUGCUCAUUCCCUUGGUAACUGGGUCUCCUCCCCCAGGACACAGCCCAAAAGGUGACCUUUUCCUUCCCUGGAUCUUGGCUGUUUAUCAUUCUGAUCUGCCAGCACCUCCCCCCGUUCAGGAUAGACUAUCACAGGACUUCCUGGGACGUGCACAGAGGGCAUCCUGGCCAGCCGCUUGCCGGAACUCAUGUCAGAUGCCUGCAAGGUCAUCCAGAUGGCCGGAAGGUGAACAGCAGCCCUGGGAAGGAGCUGCCUGCUCCUUGCCUCUCAGCCCCAUGACAUCUGUAUUUUGGAGUUUGGAGUGCCCUUGGCACACAGACCCCACCAGUCCACUGCCCUCAUGAGUUUCAAAACCUGGAUCCACGCUACCACUUCUCAGUUUAACCUCACGUCUCUCCAUUGCUUCUCUGCGCCUGCCAAUAGCAGAGAGAGUCCUAACAGACUACAUGCACUGGGCGCUCGCUCUAGAAUUAUCCCCCUUAAGCCUCAUAACAACCCUAUGAAGUAGGUACUAUCCUUAUCCCGGGUCUGUGGAUGAGAAAGCCAGGGCUCAGGGUGGUGUGCAUGAUUACCCACGGUCGCAGGGGGAGGACCCAGUAUUUUUCCUCUCUCCCUCAACUGUCUUCCUUCACGUGGUAUCCUCAGUUCCUGCAUGAUUAUUUUGCGUUCUUUAGCUUGUUGCGUACUGCUGAAUGUUCUCAGCACCAACGCGGUUGUGGAAGCCACGGGUCUGAAAAGAUUGCUCCAGGAGACAGUGUGCUGUGAGGAUGGAGGCGGGGAGAGGAGGAAUCGCUGAUGAGAUCCUGGGGGACACUGACGCCUAAGGGGCUCUGAGGAAGAGGAGACCCAGAAGGGCCGGCACAGAAAGUGCCAGAUGUCCAGGGGAUGGUCUGCAGGGGGGAAGCUACAAAGUGGACGAGUAAGUGAGCACCAAAAGGUGUCCCCUGGACUUAGCACUCCAGAAGCCAUCGGUGACCUUGGCAGGGGCCUUCUUUUAUUUCUUUACCAAGUGGGGAGGAGACUGGAGCAGGCAAAGCAGGAACCUAAUAGCAGUGGGUUGAAGAAAGGCUGGGAGGGAGCAAGGUGGGCUCAGCCAGUGCAGACUUCUCUUCCAGGAAUGAGGAAGCAGCAGGGGGAUGCUAGAUGGAAGGGUGGCUUUGGGGAUUUGGGUUUAGGUUGUUGUUGUUAUUGUUUUUUUAAACUGGGAAUAUCCUUAGCAAAUUUAUAUGCUGAGGAAAAGGAGCCGGCAGAGGUAAGGCUGAAGAUGUCAGUGAAAGAGGGGGGUGAAGGCAAGAGGUGGCCGAGGCCACACCCUGAGGGGUCCAAGCCGCAGACUGGAGAACAUCCCUUCCUCUCCUGGGGAGGAGGGAGCUGUGACAGGUGCUGUCCGGUGGCCUCUAUUUCCUCUGACAAAUGGGAGACAGAGAGUGACGGGGACCAACAGAGAAGAGUGGUGGAGUUUGUAACAACCAGUUUGGGAGAACAGGAGGAGGUUGCCAAGAGACACAGCUGAAGGGCAGUGGGCGGUCCCCACAGGUGUCACGUUGUCCCAGCAGCGAUAAACCUAGGCUUCUUUGUGAAUGCUGGUUACGUCUGUAGCUCUUAAGCUCCUUAAGCUCAUUCACCAUCUCCUUUCUUAUUGGUUUCACCAGCAGGAGGUGACGCUUUCUCCAGGUUCUAAGGACAGCACAUCAUGGCCACCCAAUAAAAGGUGCACGAGGUGUCUCUGGAUUUCUUUCCACCAUAUAGGUUACAAGAUGCAGUCAGCUGUCUGCAACCUGGAAGAAGGUUCUCACCAGGGCCAGCCCUGGUGGCCUAGUGGUUAAGUUCAGCAUGUUCUGCUUUGGCAGCAGGGGUUUGGUUCCCCACCGAAGACCUACACCACUUGUCUGUCAACGGCCAUGCUGUGGCGGCGACUCACAUCGAAAAAGAGGAAGACUGGCAACAGAUGUUAGCUGAGGGCAAAUCUCCCUCAGGAAAAAAAAAAAAAAGAGGGCUCUCACUAAACACAGAAUCAGUCAGUGCCUUGAUCUUGGAAUUCCCAGCCUCCAGAGCCAUGAGAAAUAAAUGUUUGUUGUUUAA
rnacentral:lncRNA from 1 species